UCUAAGAACGGCUUAUCAGUUCACAUCCGGUUUAGAAGUUUGCGCCAAUUUUAAACCACCUGGGUCAUGACUCAUGACAAGAACAAAGAGAAAGGAGAAAACAGCAACAUAGACCGUGGAUAAAGAGAGAAUAUGGACUGAUGAUGAAUCAGUAAACCUUCCACAAAGAAUAGAUCAGGAGGGCAUUUAUCUGCAGGAAAGGAUUCUGCUAACUAAGAGAUGGACUAAAAGUACUUGCAUAAUGUUGGAAAGGAACCCCCCCCCCCCCCCCCC